GCGGAUGUGGCGGAACUGGUAGACGCCCUGGAUUUAGGUUCCAGUGCCGAAAGGCGUGGGGGUUCGAGUCCCUUCAUCCGCACCA
rnacentral:tRNA from 183 species